CCGAUAGCGGAUAGUACCGUGAGGGAAUGGUGAAAAGUACCGCGGGAGCGGAGUGAAAUAGUACCUGAAACCGUGUGCCUACAAGCCGUGGGAGCGUCGCUGUAUGUGCUUGCACAUGCAGUCGUGACUGCGUGCCUUUUGAAGAAUGAGCCUGCGAGUUUGCGGUGUGUUGCGAGGUUAACCCGUGUGGGGAAGCCGUAGCGAAAGCGAGUCCGAAUAG
rnacentral:ncRNA from 1 species